rnacentral:rRNA from 1 species
ACGAACGCUGGCGGCGUGCUUAACACAUGCAAGUCGAACGGAAAGGCCCUGCUUUUGUGGGGUGCUCGAGUGGCGAACGGGUGAGUAACACGUGAGUAACCUGCCCUUGACUUUGGGAUAACUUCAGGAAACUGGGGCUAAUACCGGAUAGGAGCUCCUGCUGCAUGGUGGGGGUUGGAAAGUUUCGGCGGUCGGGGAUGGACUCGCGGCUUAUCAGCUUGUUGGUGGGGUAGUGGCUUACCAAGGCUUUGACGGGUAGCCGGCCUGAGAGGGUGACCGGCCACAUUGGGACUGAGAUACGGCCCAGACUCCUACGGGAGGCAGCAGUGGGGAAUAUUGCACAAUGGGCGGAAGCCUGAUGCAGCAACGCCGCGUGCGGGAUGACGGCCUUCGGGUUGUAAACCGCUUUCGCCUGUGACGAAGCGUGAGUGACGGUAAUGGGUAAAGAAGCACCGGCUAACUACGUG